GAAAGUAGAGGUCUCUCUGCUGAUACACUUGCUUCCUUACCUUCAGUAACUUACAACACAAAAGAUAUGCAAGAUUGCAACACAGAACAGCGUGGAAUUUGAAGCGUGGAAUUUGAGGGAGGUGAAUCCUUGGUUGCACUUCCCUGCAAGCAUUCAUACCAUUUUGACUGCAUUAAUCAGUGGCUUCAAAUGAAUAAGGUACAACGUCGCUUUCGACUUGUUUAUUGUUAG
rnacentral:rRNA from 1 species